UUGGAGGGCAAGUCUGGUGCCAGCAGCCGCGGUAAUUCCAGCUCCAAUAGCGUAUAUUAAAGUUGUUGCAGUUAAAAAGCUCGUAGUUGAACUUCGGGGUCUACCCAUUGGUCAGGCUUAAUUGUCUGUACUGGUGAGAUGGAUCUCUACCUUCUGAGGAACUUUCAUGUCAUUUAUUUGGUGUGAUGGGAAAUCAGGACUGUUACUUUGAAAAAAUUAGAGUGUUUAAAGCAGACUAUCGUCUGAAUACAUUAGCAUGGAAUAAUGAAAUAGGACGGACUGAUUCUAUUUCGUUGGUUUCUAGGAUCACCGUAAUGAUUAAUAGGGAUAGUUGGGGGCAUUAGUAUUCAAUUGUCAGAGGUGAAAUUCUUGGAUUUAUUGAAGACUAACUACUGCGAAAGCAUUUGCCAAGGAUGUUUUCAUUAAUCAAGAACGAAAGUUAGGGGAUCGAAGACGAUCAGAUACCGUCGUAGUCUUAACCAUAAACUAUGCCGACUAGGGAUCGGACGAAGUUAAUUUUAUAAUGACGCGUUCGGCGCCUUACGGGAAAC
rnacentral:rRNA from 2 species